UACGGAGGGUGCAAGCGUUAAUCGGAAUUACUGGGCGUAAAGCGCGCGUAGGCGGUUUGUUAAGUCAGAUGUGAAAGCCCCGGGCUCAACCUGGGAAUGGCAUUUGAGACUGGCAGGCUAGAGUAUGGUAGAGGUGAGUGGAAUUUCAGGUGUAGCGGUGAAAUGCGUAGAGAUCUGAAGGAACAUCAGUGGCGAAGGCGACUCACUGGGCCAUUACUGACGCUGAGGUGCGAAAGCGUGGGUAGCAAAC
rnacentral:rRNA from 1 species